rnacentral:rRNA from 1 species
CCUACGGGUGGCAGCAGUGGGGAAUAUUGCACAAUGGGGGAAACCCUGAUGCAGCGACGCCGCGUGAGUGAAGAAGUAUCUCGGUACGUAAAGCUCUAUCAGCAGGGAAGAAAAUGACGGUACCUGACUCAGAAGCCCCGGCUAACUACGUGCCAGCAGCCGCGGUAAUACGUAGGGGGCAAGCGUUAUCCGGAUUUACUGGGUGUAAAGGGAGCGUAGACGGCAGUACAAGUCUGGAGUGAAAUCCGUGGGCUUAACCCCGGAACUGCUUUGGAAACUGUGCGGCUGGAGUGCAGGAGGGGUAAGCGGAAUUCCUAGUGUAGCGGUGAAAUGCGUAGAUAUUAGGAGGAACACCGGUGGCGAAGGCGGCUUACUGGACUGUAACUGACGUUGAGGCUCGAAAGCGUGGGGAGCAAACAGGAUUAGAUACCCCUGUAGUC